rnacentral:misc_RNA from 1 species
UGGUUCUGGCAUCGAUGAAGAACGCAGCGAAAUGCGAUAAGUAAUGUGAAUUGCAGAAUUCAGUGAAUCAUCGAAUCUUUGAACGCACAUUGCGCCCAUUAGUAUUCUAGUGGGCAUGCCUGUUCGAGCGUCAUUUCAACCCUUAAGCCCCCGUUGCUUAGUGUUGGGAGCCUACAGUCCUCUGUAGCUCCCUAAAGUUAGUGGCGGAGUCGGUUUGCACUCUAGACGUAGUAGCUUCUAUCUCGUCUAUAGUUAGGCCGGUCUCUCGCCGUAAAACCCCCUAAUUUUUUCAAGGUUGACCUCGGAUCAGGUAGGAAUACCCGCUGA